rnacentral:rRNA from 1 species
UACGUAGGGGGCUAGCGUUUGUCCGGAUUUAUUGGGCGUAAAGCGCGUGUAGGCGGUCCGGUAAGUCCGCUGUGAAAGUCGGGGGCUCAACCCUCGAAUGCCGGUGGAUACUGUCGGGCUAGAGUGCGGAAGAGGCGAGUGGAAUUCCUGGUGUAGCGGUGAAAUGCGCAGAUAUCAGGAGGAACACCUAUUGCGAAGGCAGCUCGCUGGGACGUAACUGACGCUGAGACGCGAAAAGCGUGGGGGAGCAAAACAGG